rnacentral:rRNA from 1 species
UACGUAGGUGGCAAGCGUUGUCCGGAUUUAUUGGGUUUAAAGGGUGCGUAGGUGGUCAAUUAAGUCAGUGCUGAAAUAUCCCGGCUUAACCGGGAGGGUGGCAUUGAUACUGAUUGACUUGAGUGGAGUUGAGGUAGGCGGAAUUGACGGUGUAGCGGUGAAAUGCGCAGAUAUCAGGAGGAACACCGGUGGCGAAGGCGGGUCUCUGGGCCGAUACUGACGCUGAGGAGCGAAAGCGUGGGGAGCAAACAGG